UACGUAGGGUCCGAGCGUUGUCCGGAAUUACUGGGCGUAAAGGGCUCGUAGGCGGCCAACUAAGUCAGACGUGAAAUCCCUCGGCUUAACCGGGGAACUGCAUCUGAUACUGGAUGGCUUGAGAUUGGGAGAGGGAUGCGGAAUUCCAGGUGUAGCGGUGAAAUGCGUAGAUAUCUGGAGGAACACCGGUGGCGAAGGCAGGUCUCUGGGCAUUAACUGACGCUGAGGAGCGAAAGCAUGGGGAGCGAACAGG
rnacentral:rRNA from 1 species